GGAAGUCAGAGGCCCUGGUCCCGGCUGAACUCGCCGUGCCCACCACAUUCGAGGUUACUCAAGCUCAUUCUGUUCCGUUUUGUUUUCACCUGGUAGAUUUUUGGCUGUCGUUUGUCUCCCCGUGUGGAUUUCUCUGUAGCAAAGAAUGUGCUGGCCACCGGGCUUGAGGGGAGACCUGUAUUCCUCGUUGUAAAUGACUGCUUUGACAUGUGGCUACGUCCCAGCCUCAGUUUCAGGAAGAGUAGCAGCGAACGUUUCUGGGACACCUACGUGCCAGUCAGUCUUCAGGUCUCCACGAGAACUUUCUCAGCAUCUGUGUGGGGAUUAGGUUUUGCUGCAGAGACCGGAAGUCGUCUGCCUGAUUCCACGCCUGUGCUCCACCCCCGCCCCGCCCAGUCCCACCUUCCUGGGAGAUCGUCCACUCACUGACUUGCCGGUGAAUCCUUGUUGGGAGGCCUGCUUCUGAUAGGCCAAGAACUGAGUGACAGGACGUGAUUGACG
rnacentral:lncRNA from 1 species